GACGAACGCUGGCGGCGUGCUUAACACAUGCAAGUCGAACGGAAAGGCCCUGCUUUUGUGGGGUGCUCGAGUGGCGAACGGGUGAGUAACACGUGAGUAACCUGCCCUUGACUUUGGGAUAACUUCAGGAAACUGGGGCUAAUACCGGAUAGGAGCUCCUGCUGCAUGGUGGGGGUUGGAAAGAUUCGGCGGUUGGGGCUGGACUCGCGGCUUAUCAGCUUGUUGGUGGGGUAGUGGCUUACCAAGGCUUUGACGGGUAGCCGGCCUGAGAGGGUGACCGGCCACAUUGGGACUGAGAUACGGCCCAGACUCCUACGGGAGGCAGCAGUGGGGAAUAUUGCACAAUGGGCGGAAGCCUGAUGCAGAAACGCCGCGUGCGGGAUGACGGCCUUCGGGUUGUAAACCGCUUUCGCCUGUGACGAAGCGUGAGUGACGGUAAUGGGUAAAGAAGCACCGGCUAACUACGUG
rnacentral:rRNA from 1 species